CAAGUCUGUUGGAGCAACGCCGCGUGAGUGAAGAAGGGUUUCGGCUCGUAAAGCUCUGUUGGUAGUGAAGAAAGAUAGAGGUAGUAACUGGCCUUUAUUUGACGGUAAUUACUUAGAAAGUCACGGCUAACUACGUGCCAGCAGCCGCGGUAAUACGUAGGUGGCAAGCGUUGUCCGGAUUUAUUGGGCGUAAAGCGAGUGCAGGCGGUUCAAUAAGUCUGAUGUGAAAGCCUCCGGCUCAACCGGAGAAUUGCAUCAGAAACUGUUGAACUUGGGUGCAGAAGGGGAGAGUGGAACUCCAUGUGUAGCGGUGGAAUGCGUAGAUAUAUGGAAGAACACCAGUGGCGAAGGCGGCUCUCUGGUCUGCAACUGACGCUGAGGCUCGAAAGCAUGGGUAGCGAACAGGAUUAGAUACCCUGGUAGUCCAUGCCGUAAACGAUGAGUGCUAAGUGUUGGGAGGUUUCCGCCUCUCAGUGCUGCAGCUAACGCAUUAAGCACUCCGCCUGGGGAGUACGACCGCAAGGUUGAAACUCAAAGGAAUUGACGGGGGCCCGCACAAGCGGUGGAGCAUGUGGUUUAAUUCGAAGCAACGCGAAGAACCUUACCAGGUCUUGACAUCCAGUGCAAACCUAAGAGAUUAGGUGUUCC
rnacentral:rRNA from 1 species